AUGUUCAUACGUUAGUGCUUAAUCUGACUCUGUUCAUGCAGAUGGUGAUGGCUGUUUUCGCAUACAUCUAUCAUCAGUCAUUUGUUGCAUCACAAAGUUUAUCGGUUGAGAUGAUUUUGGACCAGAUAUUGAUGAACCUCACUUUCGAGGAGCAGUGAGCUCUGUACACGUAUGUUUGUAGCUUCUCCAGGUGAUCAUCAUUCUCAUUCACUCAAUACUAGCUUCUCAAUCUGGAAAUAAAUAAGUAAAUAAUAAUAAUGCCUAAUUUAUCAACGUUGUUAUCUACUUACAUGUAUGUUUGUAGGACUCACACAAAAAAUAUGGUGGUGUAACAGGUCAGAUAGUAGGGCAUACUUAUGAGGAAGAAAAAAAGAAGAAAAAAAAAAAAACAGUCAAUUGCUGUGUGACCAAUGGGACAAUUUGCUUUCUGUGUCUGUUUCUGUGAAUUUCUCCUGUGUUUGUAGACUGAUUCUUAUGUAAAAAUCACAAUAGUGGGAAAGCAAAAACA